CAAACUCUCUCUCCUCCCCAGAGCCCCUCCCCUCCUCUGGCAGGCGGGUAGGCUUGGGAGGAAGAGAGAAAGACAGGCGCCAGUGAAAGUACACUUGGAAGAAGAGAAGAGGGCAAAUGAGGAAACUGAGGCCCGAGGAGAAGAGGGAAUCGGAAUUCCCUCCCACGUUCCUCAAGGACGUCUGGGCCACAGUCUCCUUCUGGUCCCUAGUACAGGCCUGGCACACAGCAGACAGUAGCAAAGCUAGCUCCAGCCCGGCUGUGGCCAAGGAGGGGGUGCCUGGGACAAGCCCCCUAUUCCCUGCUCACUGCUGGCAGAGUUCCUUGAGAGCCCCUCCACCAAGGGACAGAGUGACUCACCUCAUCUCGCACUGCUAGGAAGACAACAGGAUACCAGGCACCUCCACUGGGCCAGAGAAAGGGCAGAAAGAGGCCACAUUGACAGAAGCUGGCUGGACUCCAGCUCUGCAGACAGCCAGUAAUGAAAGCACAUUUCCUACCCCACCUGAGCUCCUGCCAUCCACACCUGUGAUCCUGGAGCCUCCCCAUCUUCCUGAGUGGGCCCUCACAGAGGGACUGCUAGAUGUGGGCCACGAACUAAGCACUGCACAAAUAAUAGCUCCUUUACACCUCACCUGGACACCGUGAAGCAUGUGGUGUGUCCAUCCCUAUCUUACGACUAGUGAAACUGGGGGAGCCUAGUAACCCCAGAGCUAGGCAACCAGAGAGGGGUGUCAGAGGGACUCGAGCCCUGGCGGUGUGGCUCUGGAAUCCAAGCUCUUGGCUGCUAUCCUAAUUCCUCCAGGCCGAAGACUGCCCGGCUUGAGUAGGCCUGAUGGCCCAAUGACUCAUAAGAUUCAAUAUUUAUUGCCUCAUCUUCCCAUAUCAGGACCCCUCCUCCACCCCAGCACUUGCCCCGGAGCUGAUGUGUGCUGUUAUGACGGCUCUCGGGAGGGGACCGCCGGGCAGACACACACACACAGCAGCCGGCAAGGACAGUCUUCGAAGG
ensembl:lncRNA